CAGCAAAAAAAAAAAGGCAAAACAUCCCCAUUUCCUUGGUGUCUUCCAGAUGGCAAACUUGGCCUUCCUGAGGGGAGAGCUGGAGAAGGCUGAGAAGCUUUUCAAAGCCACCAUGAGCUACAUGCUCGCCGGGGACGUAAAGCAAGAUGACAAUGCAAUCCUCCAGAUGUCCCUGAAGCUGGCCAGCAUCUACGCGGCUCAAAACCAGUAAGUUUGAUCCCCUCUCCAGAGCACCAGGACAGGAAGCAACGGGUGGAAACUAACC